GUUGAGUAGAUCGAGUGAAAUAUCGGGUUUUUUAUAAUUUUUGUUCCUUCUACUUGUCGUAGAAAUAAAAAAUUAAGUCUGACUUUAUUUUUUCAUUAUUGUUUUCAAACACAAAAAUAGGCAAAAUUUCAACAGAAAUGAAACAGAAAAAUCAAACGAUUAUUGAAAUAUUUUUAUUGGAGCACAAAAAACGGAAAAAACACAUUUUCUAAAAACAGAUUCAAACGGGCCCUCAACACUCUCUCUCGGUUUCUGCUACUCAUAGAAGAAGCUCACUGUGGUGUGGAAGAGAGAUUUCUGGGAACAACCAUACUACAGUUUCUCUCUCUCUCCUCCGGUAAGAAAUUUCACCGGAGAUCGUUUUAGAAGGAAUCAUCUAAUCUGAGGGUACUCGUUCCAGCCGGGAAGAGCUUUCCUAUUUUCGCCGAUAAAAAUGUCAAUAUUAAGAAACAAUCCCAUGAAUGGAUUAGAUGAAAUAAGUCCUGAAUUGCAACAGUUGAAGGAGGACGUGCGCAGUUUGAAAAUUAGAUUGGAGAGGUUGGAGAAGGAAGUUGGAACACUGAUGACUGUGGGUCGUGUUGUAUUAGCUUUGUUUGUUGUAGUCUUUGUAUUGUUGAUUGUUAAAUAUUGAAGAAAAAAAAAUUGGAAGUUUGAUGACCUAUUGUGGCUGUAUUUGUGUACUUGCAUGAAGAACCUUCCAUGUUAUUAGUAAUGAAAUGGUUUCAUUUUAUAA